GAUGAACGCUGGCGGCGUGCCUAAUACAUGCAAGUCGAGCGAACAGACGAGGAGCUUGCUCCUUUGACGUUAGCGGCGGACGGGUGAGUAACACGUGGGUAACCUACCUAUAAGACUGGGAUAACUUCGGGAAACCGGAGCUAAUACCGGAUAAUAUUUCGAACCGCAUGGUUCGAUAGUGAAAGAUGGCUUUGCUAUCACUUAUAGAUGGACCUGCGCCGUAUUAGCUAGUUGGUAAGGUAACGGCUUACCAAGGCAACGAUACGUAGCCGACCUGAGAGGGUGAUCGGCCACACUGGAACUGAGACACGGUCCAGACUCCUACGGGAGGCAGCAGUAGGGAAUCUUCCGCAAUGGGCGAAAGCCUGACGGAGCAACGCCGCGUGAGUGAUGAAGGUCUUCGGAUCGUAAAACUCUGUUAUUAGGGAAGAAUAAACGUGUAAGUAACUGUGCACGUCUUGACGGUACCUAAUCAGAAAGCCACGGCUAACUACGUGCCAGCAGCCGCGGUAAUACGUAGGUGGCAAGCGUUAUCCGGAAUUAUUGGGCGUAAGCGCGCGUAGGCGGUUUUUUAAGUCUGAUGUGAAAGCCCACGGCUCAACCCGUGGAGGGUCAUUGGAAACUGGAAAACUUGAGUGCAGAUGAGGAAAGUGGAAUUCCAUGUGUAGCGGUGAAAUGCGCAGAGAUAUGGAGGAACACCAGUGGCGAAGGCGACUUUCUGGUCUGUAACUGACGCUGAUGUGCGAAAGCGUGGGGAUCAAACAGGAUUAGAUACCCUGGUAGUCCACGCCGUAAACGAUGAGUGCUAAGUGUUAGGGGGUUUCCGCCCCUUAGUGCUGCAGCUAACGCAUUAAGCACUCCGCCUGGGGAGUACGACCGCAAGGUUGAAACUCAAAGGAAUUGACGGGGACCCGCACAAGCGGUGGAGCAUGUGGUUUAAUUCGAAGCAACGCGAAGAACCUUACCAAAUCUUGACAUCCUUUGACCCUUCUAGAGAUAGAAGUUUCCCCUUCGGGGGACAAAGUGACAGGUGGUGCAUGGUUGUCGUCAGCUCGUGUCGUGAGAUGUUGGGUUAAGUCCCGCAACGAGCGCAACCCUUAAGCUUAGUUGCCAUCAUUAAGUUGGGCACUCUAAGUUGACUGCCGGUGACAAACCGGAGGAAGGUGGGGAUGACGUCAAAUCAUCAUGCCCCUUAUGAUUUGGGCUACACACGUGCUACAAUGGACAAUACAAAGGGCAGCGAAACCGCGAGGUCAAGCAAAUCCCAUAAAGUUGUUCUCAGUUCGGAUUGUAGUCUGCAACUCGACUACAUGAAGCUGGAAUCGCUAGUAAUCGUAGAUCAGCAUGCUACGGUGAAUACGUUCCCGGGUCU
rnacentral:rRNA from 1 species